UACGUAGGGUGCAAGCGUUAAUCGGAAUUACUGGGCGUAAAGCGUGCGCAGGCGGCUUUGCAAGACAGAUGUGAAAUCCCCGGGCUUAACCUGGGAACUGCAUUUGUGACUGCAUCGCUGGAGUGCGGCAGAGGGGGGAUGGAAUUCCGCGUGUAGCAGUGAAAUGCGUAGAGAUGCGGAGGAACACCGAUGGCGAAGGCAGCCCCCCUGGGCUGACACUGACGCUCAGGCACGAAAGCGUGGGGAGCAAACAGG
rnacentral:rRNA from 1 species